CGACGCUUGGAAUCAAGAUGCUUUGGGCCCGGGAAAGUAAUAGCUACCGAUCAAGGGGAUCUCUUCACGGUAGCCGGUAUAGCCGGUCAGGUGCGACCCGCAAGGGCGAGAAGGCAAUGGCAGGGCAGCGUAAAACCCCAACCACGGGCGCUGUCACUGUCCUAAAACCCACCGACCGCCAGACGCCGAAGAGGGCAGGGAGCGCAGAGGUAACCCACUCCCGAAAGUCUGGAACGCCU
rnacentral:ncRNA from 1 species